UGUAUCGCUGAUGUUUUUUCCAGCUCUAUUUGUCUGAGAUCAGGGAUUGUAGGAGGACACACUGCGAAUAAAAUCAGCUAUACCUACUCGAACAAGAAGUCGGCGGGUUGGUUUUUUGCAACUCCUUAAUGGGCCAGCGACAACAGGGAAGAUAAUACAUAUGCUGGAUAAAAACCGCUUCCUGAAUUAAUUUUCCCGGUACAAAAGCUUAUUUAAAGUAUAUAUAAAGUUACGAGUAAGGGGUACUAAAAUUUCUGUUUGUCCUAAGAGCUGAAAGCAAUCACUGUGUAAACAGGCCUUACAUUUCCUUUAGUUCUCAUUAUUACAUUUCUAAGUCCCAGAAAUAUUUUUCCAAAUCCAAAUGUGGAUAUCAAAGAAGUCAUUCUCACCCCUAAUAAAUAUAAUCAGUUUAUGCUUAAAAUUGAGCAGUUUGUAAACAAUAACUACGAAAACUAAAUAACAUUUUUGAAAAA